AGAGUUUGAUCCUGGCUCAGGACGAACGCUGGCGGCGUGCCUAACACAUGCAAGUCGAGCGAGGAAGAGGAGAUAGCUUGCUAACUCCUGUUUCUAGCGGCGGACGGGUGAGUAACGCGUGAGCAACCUGCCUUUAUCAGGGGGAUAACGCAUCGAAAGAUGUGCUAAUACCGCGUAAGACCACAGCCUCACAUGGGGCAGGGGUCAAAGGAGCAAUCCGGAUAAAGAUGGGCUCGCGUCCGAUUAGCUAGUUGGUGAGAUAACAGCCCACCAAGGCGACGAUCGGUAGCCGACCUGAGAGGGUGAUCGGCCACAUUGGAACUGAGAGACGGUCCAGACUCCUACGGGAGGCAGCAGUGGGGAAUAUUGGGCAAUGGGCGAAAGCCUGACCCAGCAACGCCGCGUGAGGGAAGAAGGGUUUCGGCUCGUAAACCUCUGUCCUAUGGGACGAAGGAAGUGACGGUACCAUAGGAGGAAGCCCCGGCUAACUACGUGCCAGCAGCCGCGGUAAUACGUAGGGGGCGAGCGUUGUCCGGAAUGAUUGGGCGUAAAGGGCGCGUAGGCGGCCUGCUAAGUCUGAAGUGAAAGUCCUGCUUUCAAGGUGGGAAGUGCUUUGGAUACUGGUGGGCUGGAGUGCAGGAGAGGUAAGCGGAAUUCCCGGUGUAGCGGUGAAAUGCGUAGAGAUCGGGAGGAACACCAGUGGCGAAGGCGGCUUACUGGACUGUAACUGACGCUGAGGCGCGAAAGUGUGGGGAGCAAACAGGAUUAGAUACCCUGGUAGUCCACACUGUAAACGAUGAAUGCUAGGUGUAGGGGGUAUCGACCCCUUCUGUGCCGGAGUAAACACAAUAAGCAUUCCGCCUGGGGAGUACGGCCGCAAGGUUGAAACUCAAAGGAAUUGACGGGGGCCCGCACAAGCAGCGGAGCAUGUGGUUUAAUUCGACGCAACGCGAAGAACCUUACCAGGU
rnacentral:rRNA from 1 species